CUUUUAUAUCAUGAAGAUUUAUUAUAGAAACAUAGUGAACAUUAAUUAGAAUUGAAUAGAAACACAGCAGAUUAUGGCAAAGUAGUAGGCAAUUUGAUAUUUACUUUUUAUACAACCGAAAGAGAGAAAGAGCUUAUUCCAGUAUUUACUGAAGAUUAUUUUAGUGGUAAGAACUUUACAACCGGAAUGCAAGUAUUUUCUAUAGAAUACUCAGCCUUCAGGUGUAAUGCCCUGUCGCAACCACACCCAAUGGGAGGACAGAUGUGUACACCACCAUUGGUCCUUAAGGUUCUCUGAAUGCGAUGGGUGGACACUAAAUCAUCAGCCGGACUAAGAGGGAGAAUUCUAGGUCUCAUCUAUGAUCGACAGUGGAUUUGUUGGUACAAGUCCAGGAUUCGCUUAAAGAGAAGCGUGACUUCUUACGUUUCGUGGUCCUAAACACAGACAUCCCCGUCCGCUCCGGCUUUUGGGCCGUUUGCAAGAAAGAACUGUGUUCAUCCACUGGAUUGCAGGGACACUGUGGUGGGGGAGGGGGGCAUCGACACCCCAAGCUCUCAGUGAAAUUCCAAUGAAAUGUGAGGGCAGGGCCAGGCGGGGUUCAUACCACCUGAUUGGCUGACACGUCCCAUGCUCACGCCCUGAUCAGGAUGAGUGGCCAGAAACCUCUGUGAGGAGUCCCAUCCCCCUCUCAAAGUUGUUAUGGUUACGAUCACAAAUCCUAGGUACACACAUGGGGGUGGGGACCUCAUACAUGACCCUUACAUGACCCUUACAUAACCGUGAGUCCUUAGGCCUGCUUUCACUGAAAGCAAGAAAACGUAUUCAGGAAAGAAUAUCAUCCAUGUAACAUCUACAGUAAACAACGCUCAAAGCAUGAAAACACGGUGUACUCUAUGCACGCAGACAAUCUCACUUCAGGGCUUCCCUUGAGAAGGAGAAUUACACGAGGUCCUGAUUUUGGCGUCUUGACCAAAUAAUACGUUUUAAAAGCAUCUGAAGUCUGUUUGGUCCCCUGAUGCCGGGAAGGUUCUUUUAAGAGGAGGGUGUAUUUAAGUUCCAGUUUUAGGCAGGGUUAAAUCUUUGCCUAUUCGGUUGCCCUGCAGGGUACGUGUGUCUGGGAUUUUAGAUAAAUCCGUCCCUACAUAGUCUAACCUCAAGAGAACUUCUCUUGGUUAAAAGGACGGGCGCCCUCCUUUUCUCACCUCGUACUGAAUAUUAUUGUCAUGGCAGUAAGGCUCCCAUUCAACAUCUUCCAGAUGUAUUGGAAAGCACUGUCUAAGAAGGAUCCUUGUUGUCUUCAUAUAAUUAACGUUAGCAUGUUGUGAGGAUCUUCACAACUUCUGUUAACGGAACGGCAUCUUCUUUGUUCCAUUUCUUCUGUUCAAUUGACCUGUGUGCAUUAGAAGUUACAUAGGUUCUCCAAGAGGAGGUCAUUAGUUUCACAAAGUUGUUUACAUCCUUAUGGGACUCCUUAUCGCCAAUAAUCACACUUUGGUUCGCUAAACAUUCCGCUGCUUUCGUAAGUGAGUGUCCUAUUCUGAUUACUGAACUUGGCUUGGUGUAGUCAUUUUUGUCCGGAUUGAACCCACUGACCUUCUUUGCCGCUUCAACGACCAGUUCGAACCGGCUGGGUUUACAGACGUCUUGUAGGUGCUGUAUACUGCUGUCAAGCUUCUUGACCGCUACCAUGAGUCUACCCACUUCCCUUAAUCUCUGAGAGAUGUAGCCGUGCUGGGACAACUCAUGACCACGCUCUGCGUACAAAGCAUCUCCAAACUGACAAAUGAAGGGGUCGUUUCGUAUGUGAAAAGCCACUGAAUCUUGUUGCAUUUUGUGGAUGAUCUUUUGGCAUCCCUGCGAAGCACUUUUAGAGAUUGGGAUCAGAUGGGAAGCUAGAGAUUGGACCCUCUUCCUCGACCCUUUUUCUUCACUAUUCUUUGACCCUUUUUCUCCUUCCUUUUUUGCCCUGCAAGACGACUCGUGUCUCCAUAACUCGCUCUUCACAAAAAAAGCCAAACAGUGAGAACAGGGCAGGUAGUCCUCAAUGGAAGCACUUCCUGGGGGUUGUCUCCAUGUAACGAUCUCUCCCUUCCCCUCUUCAAGCACUAAGAUGUUGUGUUGAUAGUCACCUUUGUUUCUCAGCUCUUCAAGCAAGGCUGACCUUUUCUUAGAGCCUUUUGGGAAGCUACAAGCCCGGGCUACGUCCUCCUCAUCUCCAUGCUUUCUUUCUAAGUGCCUGGAUAUUUUAGAAUUGGGUUUCAUGCAGUAUAUACAGAAAUGCUUUUUGUCAUAGAGCCUUUUCCCAUCCUUGGUCUUACUGCAGGUUUUGAUUGUUAAUGUAGACAUGCUUUUCUUCUGUUUGACAGGGCCGGGUUUAGACUUUGGGGACGGGGUAGAGGGCGUGCAGGGUGUCUCACUGUCUGUUGAAUCAGAGUUUUCCUCUGCUGGGAUGAAGUGGGGAUAAUUCAUUUGAUCAUCUGACAACACGUCAAAAUCCUCAUCUGACGUCAUGCUCAUUUGGUCAGAAAACACAUAAUUAGGGACUCUCUGGGAGCCGAGGCGGGUGGCCCUGGUCUUGGUCGAACUGGAGAGCCGGGACUUCUUGGUAGCGACCGUGGCAUCAAAACUGAAGUCUAACAGAUGACAAGGAGAAAACCAGAAACCGAAAAGCAUUAUUACAUUAAUCUUACAGUUAAAAACGAAUUUAAUAAAUAUUCUCCUGGGCCAGUUUGAUUACAAA
ensembl:lncRNA